rfam:Thermosinus carboxydivorans Nor1 ctg42, whole genome shotgun sequence.
AAAACCUUUAAAUUAGUCCGGAGAGACUAAUAAGGUGCACAAUAAGGACGGGCCUACUGUGCCUUAGUGACCUUUAAGCCUCUUACUCCGGUAAGAGGCUUUAUUGUGU